UACAGGGGGGACUAGUGUUAUUCGAAAUGACUGGGCGUAAAGGGCAUGUAGGCUGUUUUUUAAGUUUAAAGUAAAAUACCAGAGUAUAUUUUGGGAAAUCUUUUUAGACUGAAAAACUUGAGUACGAUAGAAGAUAGUAGAAUUUCCAAGGAAGGGAUAAAAUACAUAAAUCUUGGAAGGAAUGCCAAAGGCGAAAGCAACUGUCUGGGUCGAAACUGACGCUGAGGUGCGAAAGCAUGGGGAGCAAACGGG
rnacentral:rRNA from 1 species